GGGGACGCGUGGUUUCGACAGGGAGAUCACCGCUCGAUUGCGGGUCGUGGCGCCGUGCACCACGUAAAAAGCGGCAAAAACGUAAACGGCGAACGUGAAUACGCCCUCGCUGCCUAACGGGUAGCGACUUUCCUCUUAUCCCCAGCCUGGCGGGCUAAGAAUGAAAGACAAAAUGCCGGGAUGCGUUGUUUGGGUAGCUAGUGACAAACAACUAAGGCUCCACUAGCUGGUCGCCGCACUUGCUACGCCGAUGG
rnacentral:tmRNA from 1 species